GUUUCUCCCUUUUGGAACGGGAGUAUUUACCCAAUGCCUGUACCCCCAUGGCCACUUCCAGCAUCGAUGGUGUCAGGUCAGGUCCUCUGGGUAGAAGAAAUGGAGUCAGUUAGGAGUGCUGGAGACUGAGUAAGAGGUGGCAGCUGAGGCUUACUACCCCAGGAAAGGGAUGCCACCAGAGAAGGCAGACAACCAAGAUGGCGACUCUCAAUUUUUGAGCUCCUAAUUUUCUCAUGUCAGACAUAAGAAAAAAAAAUAUUUUUUAAAGAAAAAGCUUUAGGUUGCAAAAAUCUAGGCCUUUCAACUUUAAAAUCCUAUUCUUGCAAGCCUUGGAGAAUAAAGCUUAUGCAUAAACAGUAGAUUUGGAAACAGA
rnacentral:lncRNA from 1 species